UCGCCCGCCGCCGUCGCCGCCGAUUCAGCCGGCGCAGAUCCGGCCUUCUUCUUCUUCGGUGACGGCGUGGGGGCUGGGGUUGGUUGGGUGGAGGACGAGGAAGAUGAAUUUAUUCCUCUCACCAGGCAGGUCGAGGACGGAGAAGGUCAGGAGCGGCGAGGGGCGACGAAUACAUCGGAGGAGGAUUCUGAACUGGAUCGAGUAGACAUGGAUCUGGUCCUCAGGUGAUCGGUUCAAGAAAAGAUAUUUCCCCUGGACCAUUAUGCCCUUAUCGCAAUUAACAUAUUAAAUUUAAUCAAUUAAAAUUCCCCGCAAGAUCGGACGGCUAAUAAAAAUCAGACGUGAUCAGACAUGUAAGUACUGCUAAGUACUCCAAGUACUAACCCAAUCACCGUAAAACAGCUCGUAUGUCUUAUCUUAUGAAAUUUUGCUUUUGAUUUCUUUAAGGUGUUGGCUCUUCUUCCACCGUUGAUCAAGUUAGGAAAGACACUAUGAAGCAAGUCAAUGAUUUGGAUGUGGCACGAUGAUGCAAGAAAGACGCGACGACGACGAUGCAAGGAUGUUUAUCCCUUCUUGAAGGCGUUAGUAGACUUUGUCGUAGGUAUUUAAUUGGGAGAGGAUUUGUGGCAAGCAGGUCUCACAGCACGCAGUCCCUCGGGCGUGCUUUUAUUUCAUUUUACUUUCCGAUUUUCAAACUUUUAUAUCUUUAAACAAAAAUUCUAAAUUAAGUUAUGUUUUCA